rnacentral:rRNA from 1 species
AAAUAUUAACUCACACCUACCAACGCCCGGGUACUACGAGCCCCAGCUUAAAACCCAAAGGACUUGACGGUGUCCCACCCGCCUAGAGGAGCCUGUUCUAUAAUCGAUGAUCCCCGCUAAACCCAACCCCCCCUUGCCAAUCAGCCUGUAUACCUCCGUCGUAAGCUUACCAUAUGAAUGCCCUAAGUAAGUCUAACGGCUACAAACACCAAUACGUCAGGUCAAGGUGCAGCUCAUGGGGCGGUAAGCAAUGGGCUACAAUUUCUAAUUUAGAAUAAACGAAACACUGUAUGAAACUCAGUUGUGAAGGCGGAUUUAGUAGUAAAAAGAAAGUAGCGUGUUCUUUUUAACUAGGCCCUGGGACGUGU